rnacentral:rRNA from 1 species
CAGCAGCCGCGGUAAUACCGGCGGCCCGAGUGGCGGUCACUAUUAUUGGGCUUAAAGCGUCCGUAGCCGGGUUGGGAAAUCCUCCGGGAAAUCUGGCCGCUUAACGGUCAGAAUGCCGGAGGAUACUCCCAGCCUAGGGAGCGGGAGAGGCCGAGGGUAUUCCCGGAGUAGGGGGGAAAUCCUAUAAUCCGGGAGGACCACCUGUGGCGAAGGCGCUCGGCUGGAACGCGUCCGACGGUGAGGGACGAAGGCCAGGGGAGCAAACCGGAUUAGAUACCCGGGUAGUCCUGGCUGUAAACGAUGCGGACUUUGUGUCGGACAAGCUAUGAGCUUGUCCGGUGCCGGAGGGAAACCGUUAAGUCCGCCGCCUGGGGAGUACGGCCGCAAGGCUGAAACUUAAAGGAAUUGGCGGG